rnacentral:rRNA from 1 species
UUGGAGGGCAAGUCUGGUGCCAGCAGCCGCGGUAAUUCCAGCUCCAAUAGCGUAUAUUAAAGUUGUUGCAGUUAAAAAGCUCGUAGUUGAAUUUCGGGAUCAAGGAAUCGGUCAUGCCUUGGUAUGUACUGGUUUUAUUGGUUCUCACCUUCUAAAGAACCAUAAUGUCAUUUAUUUGAUGUUAUGGGGAAUUAGGACUGUUACCUUGAAAAAAUUAGAGUGUUUAAAGCAAGCUUACGCUUGAAUACAUUAGCAUGGAAUAAUGAAAUAGGACAUCAGAUUCUAUUUUGUUGGUUUCUAGGAUCGAUGUAAUGAUUAAUAGGGAUAGUUGGGGGCAUUAGUAUUCAAUUGUCAGAGGUGAAAUUCUUGGAUUUAUUGAAGACUAACUACUGCGAAAGCAUUUGCCAAGGAUGUUUUCAUUAAUCAAGAACGAAAGUUAGGGGAUCGAAGACGAUCAGAUACCGUCGUAGUCUUAACCAUAAACUAUGCCGACUAGGGAUCGGAUGAUGUUAAUUUAUAAUGACUCAUUC